AACACAUGCAAGUCGAACGAUGAACACCGGAGCUUGCUCUGGUGGGAUUAGUGGCGAACGGGUGAGUAACACGUGAGCAAUCUGCCCCCGACUCUGGGAUAACCCCGAGAAAUCGGAGCUAAUACCGGAUACGACACCUCCUGGCAUCAGGUGGGUGUGGAAAGAAUUUCGGUUGGGGAUGAGCUCGCGGCCUAUCAGCUUGUUGGUGAGGUAAUGGCUCACCAAGGCGACGACGGGUAGCCGGCCUGAGAGGGUGACCGGCCACACUGGGACUGAGACACGGCCCAGACUCCUACGGGAGGCAGCAGUGGGGAAUAUUGCACAAUGGGCGCAAGCCUGAUGCAGCAACGCCGCGUGGGGGACGACGGCCUUCGGGUUGUAAACCUCUUUUGGCAGGGAAGAAGCGAAAGUGACGGUACCUGCAGAAAAAGCACCGGCUAACUACGUGCCAGCAGCCGCGGUAAUACGUAGGGUGCAAGCGUUGUCCGGAAUUAUUGGGCGUAAAGAGCUCGUAGGCGGUGUGUCACGUCUGCUGUGAAAAUCCAAGGCUCAACCUUGGACUUGCAGUGGGUACGGGCACACUCGAGUGCGGUAGGGGAGAUUGGAAUUCCUGGUGUAGCGGUGGAAUGCGCAGAUAUCAGGAGGAACACCGAUGGCGAAGGCAGAUCUCUGGGCCGUAACUGACGCUGAGGAGCGAAAGCGUGGGGAGCGAACAGGAUUAGAUACCCUGGUAAUCCACGCCGUAAACGGUGGGAACUAGAUGUGGGGUCCGUUCCACGGAUUCCGUGUCGCAGCUAACGCAUUAGUUCCCGCCUGGGGGAGUACGGCGCAAGGCUAAACUCAAGGAUUGACGGGGGCCCGCACAGCGGCGGAGCAUGCGGAUUAAUUCGAUGCACGCGGAGAACCUUACCAAGU
rnacentral:rRNA from 1 species